CCCUUCCUUUUGUCCUCUCCCCCAACCCCCCGACCCUGCCGUAGCAGAACCAGCUGUCUGGCUGGGGAGGGCGGGCAGAGUCCUGCGGGAGCCCCGGUGGGCGCCAGAGGAUGCUAUUGCGAUUUUUUUUUCCCUGCCGGCUCCCUAUUGCGGGUGACGCGCGCUCACACACGCAGAUCCACGCGCUCACAGCACCGCAGCCAGCAGCCACAGCCAGCCCUUCCCCGCCGGUCCCCGAGCUUGCUCGCGUGGUGCUGGGGGCCUCCCUGCUGUGGGAUCUGGACGCGAGCGAGGGGCAGGAGCCCUGGGUGUCCCCCGGAGGGAGGACAGAGUGAUGCCUAUGAAGGGAAUCCAGCUGUAGGAACAGAGACCACAGAGCCGAGCAAUCCUGACCACGUGGCACUGCGGCAAGACACCCAGCUCAGCAGCAGUAGGUUCUCAGGGGGAGCCUGGGCCAUGCUGUAGCUCAGCAGAGGAUUUGGCAGACAGAGCCCUGGCCACACAGGUGGAUGCAGAGACCCUGUGGUAGGCGCCAUGAGCAGCACCCUAUCCCCCACGGACUACGACAGCUUGGAGAUCCAGCAGCAGUACAACGACAUCAACAACCGGUGGGAGCUGGCCGAUGAGGACUGGGACAAUGAGAACAGCUCAGCACGCCUCUUUGAGCGCUCCCGCAUCAAGGCGCUGGCAGG